rnacentral:rRNA from 1 species
ACGUUAACGAACGAGACCUUAACCUGCUAAAUAGUUAGGCCAACGUUUGUUGGUCGUCAACUUCUUAGAGGGACUAUUGACUAUUAGUCAAUGGAAGUUUGAGGCAAUAACAGGUCUGUGAUGCCCUUAGAUGUUCUGGGCUACACGCGCGCUACACUGACACGUUCAUCGAGUUUACAACCUUGGCCGGAAGGUCUGGGUAAUCUUUGAAAGCGUGUCGUGAUGGGGAUAGAUGAUUGUAAUUUUUCAUCUUCAACGAGGAAUUCCUAGUAAUCGCAUGUCAUUAGCGUGCAAUGAUUACGUCCCUGCCCUUUGUACACACCGCCCGUCGCUAGUACCGAUUGAAUGGCUCG